rnacentral:rRNA from 1 species
CCUACGGGUGGCAGCAGUGAGGAAUAUUGGUCAAUGGACGCAAGUCUGAACCAGCCAUGUAGCGUGAAGGAUGACUGCUCUAUGGGUUGUAAACUUCUUUUAUAUGGGGGUAAACUACGGUAUGCAUACCUCUUUGUAUGUACCUUAUGAAUAAGGAUCGGCUAACUCCGUGCCAGCAGCCGCGGUAAUACGGAGGAUCCGAGCGUUAUCCGGAUUUAUUGGGUUUAAAGGGUGCGUAGGCGGUUUGUUAAGUUAGUGGUGAAAGUUUGCGGCUCAACCGUAAAAUUGCAGUUGAUACUGUCAGCCUUGAGGACAGUAGAGGUAGGCGGAAUUCGUGGUGUAGCGGUGAAAUGCUUAGAGAUCACGAAGAACUCCGAUUGCGAAGGCAGCUCACUGGACUGCAACUGACGCUGAUGCUCGAAAGUGUGGGUAGCAAACAGGAUUAGAUACCCGUGUAGUC